AUUGAACGCUGGCGGCAUGCUUUACACAUGCAAGUCGAACGGCAGCACGGGUGCUUGCACCUGGUGGCGAGUGGCGGACGGGUGAGUAAUGCAUCGGAACGUAUCCUUAAGCGGGGGAUAACGCAUCGAAAGAUGUGCUAAUACCGCAUAAUCUCUGAGGAGAAAAGCAGGGGAUCGCAAGACCUUGCGCUUUUGGAGCGGCCGAUGUCUGAUUAGCUAGUUGGUGGGGUAAUGGCCUACCAAAGCUUCGAUCAGUAGCUGGUCUGAGAGGACGGCCAGCCACACUGGGACUGAGACACGGCCCAG
rnacentral:rRNA from 1 species